GAUGAACGCUGGCGGCGUGCCUAAUACAUGCAAGUCGAGCGAACGGACGAGAAGCUUGCGUCUCUGAUGUUAGCGGCGGACGGGAGAGAAACACGUGGAUAACCUACCUAUAAGACGGGGAUCACUUCGGGAAACGGGAGAUAAUAGGGGAGAAUAUUUUGCACCGCAUGGGUGAAAAGAGAAAGACGGUGUUGGUGGAAGGAAUAGAUGGAUACGCGCUGCAUUAGCUAGUUGGUCAGGAAACAGCUUACGAAGGCAACGAUGCAUAGCCGACCUGAGAGGGUGAUCGGCCACCCUGGAACGUAGACACCCUCCAUACUCCUACGGGAGGCAGCAGUAUGGAAUCUUCCGCAAUGGUCGAAAGCCUUACGGAGCAACGCCGCGUGUGUGAUGACAGUCUUCGGUUCGUAAAACUCUGUUAUUAGUUAAGAACAUAUGUGUACGUAACUGUGCACUUCUUGACGGUACCUAAUCAGAAAGCCACGGCUAACUACGUG
rnacentral:rRNA from 1 species